rnacentral:rRNA from 1 species
AUUGAACGCUGGCGGCAUGCCUUACACAUGCAAGUCGAACGGUAACGGGCCUUCGGGCGCCGACGAGUGGCGAACGGGUGAGUAAUGUAUCGGAACGUACCUUUCAGUGGGGGAUAACGUAGCGAAAGUUACGCUAAUACCGCAUAUCCUGUGAGCAGGAAAGCAGGGGAUCGCAAGACCUUGCGCUGAUUGAGCGGCCGAUGUCAGAUUAGCUAGUUGGUGAGGUAAAGGCUCACCAAGGCGACGAUCUGUAGCGGGUCUGAGAGGAUGAUCCGCCACACUGGAACUGAGACAAGGUCCAGACUCCGACGGGAGGCAGGAGUGGGGAAUAUUGGACAAUGGGCGAAAGCCUGGUCCAGCCAUGCCGCGUGUGUGAAGAGGGCCUUCGGGUUGUAAAGCACUUUUGUCCGGGAAGAAAUCUUCCGACCUAAUACGUCGGGAGGAUGACGGUACCGGAAGAAUAAGCACCGGCUAACUUCGUGCCAGCCGCCGCCGUAAUAC